rnacentral:rRNA from 1 species
ACGCUCGACACCUACGGAGGCAGCAGUGGGGAAUAUUGCACAAUGGGGGAAACCCUGAUGCAGCGACGCCGCGUGAGCGAAGAAGUAUUUCGGUAUGUAAAGCUCUAUCAGCAGGGAAGAAACUGACGGUACCUGACUAAGAAGCACCGGCUAAAUACGCGCCAGCAGCCGGACGGUAAUCUGAGGCGGGCUGGCAAGGC